CAUGUGGAGCAUGAUGAAACCGGUUAGGACGCCUCAAUUCUUUUUUUUUUUUUUUUUUACCAACUGGACUUCUACACUCUGCCUAACAAGCCUUUUGCAUGACAAGCACUUUCAUCUAUACUAAGAGACCGAUAUUGGCCUUGCAGCCCCUGCAGUGGCAUAUUAUUUUUUGCGCGCUGCAGCUGACAUCGAGGCCUGCCGAGCAGCAUUGGCAACUCAGUCUCCAUAGUGGCUCCUUUAUACCUCCAGCAGCAUCUACGUGUAGGACUCCACCCGGUGCAAGCUUUGCACUCUCCCUCCCAGUGACAGCUAUGUGGUGGGCAGCGCAGGAUAAUCUAACCGAGGAUUCUCGGUUAGAAACCAGCCCACGGGAGAGAAAGUGCAAUACUACCAUGACUAAUAUGUGAAUCUGUUAAACAAGGUAAUAGCACAUUCGCAAGAUGAGGGUGUAAUCACAAGAUCGACAGCACUUUGUGAGACCAGUGAUGUCUUCUUACAAGCAAGAACCACAGUCAUCCUGCUUUAUGUUAUGAGGAACACCUUUACUACAUCAGCAUAGGCAGUACCUGGAGUUAAAAAAAACAGUGCUUAAGGAGGAUGCUGCCCUCUCCGCAGGUUAAGUAACUACUGGAGCUAUCCAGAGCUCCCAAUGGGCAAAUCCAGGACAUUUUGAUGGACCCAUCAAGGAUGUCUUUCUGGACAAAUCUGUGAUUUCUAACUAUGCAUGUCCAAGGCAUCUUUACAAAAAUAUUCAUGGUAUCUUACCAAGCACAUCCAAGACUUGGUGGCAGGCACACAUAGGAUGCUUUGCUUGAAACACCUAUGACACCUUGCUUUCCAUAUACAGUGCAUCCCACUUAAAAUAUUAGAGAGGAUUUUGCUGGCCAGUGCCACCAUCAUGGGGGGUACUGAAGGGACAACUGUCCCAGACCCAGCCACUCUGACAGAGAAGGGAGGGCCCGGGCUGCUCAUACAGCCCGCAGCUGCCAUCAUUGCUGCUGCCACUACCUUGCAGUAAGGUGAUGGUGGGCCCCAUGUUCUCCCAUCUCCCAUUGGCACUAGCACAGCCCACUGCCCAUGCAGCAAACUACUAAAGAGCCCUGCUGGCUGCCACUGCAAUAAAGUUUAUUGUGCACCUGUGGUUCACAGUGGGAUACAAGUGUGACUGAUGCUCUUCCAAUGGAGAUCUGUGGUGCACUCACUGUUCCUGCACAGUUACUCUGUCCCAGAAGCCAUGAUAACACCUGCAAUAGGGGACAAGAUGGCCGCUGCCUGGUCCCGCUGAACUUGCUCUGCAGCAAAUGACAAUGCACAGGCUGUUGCUGCUGGACCAUGAGAUGGGACAAACCAGUGCAUGCUGUAGUAGGCUGAAUCUCAUGAAUCUGACCCAUCUGCCAUUGUCACAGCGUAGCGGGAAUCCUGCCAAUUCACUGCAGGCCUUUGUAGACCAGCUGAGAGCGCUAUCUAUAUAAUUAUGUAAGUCAUGUUUGUUUAUACACACACUAACACGUAUACACAUCAUAUUUGUUUUCCUCUUUGUUUUUAAGGAGGGGCGGCACCAAACACAAACUUGCUUCUGGGAUACUGGGAUGAAUUUAUGCCCCUGCUUUUCAUGUUGCAACAUUGGGCUUAUUGCCAUAUUACAGUAUGUAAUGUUGGGAUGAAUAUGGUGGCAUAAAACAGGCAUCAUGGAUAUUAAUUUGUAUAUACUGGGUGUAGAGUAGUUAUUUGCAUUAAACUGUAUACAGUGUGCAGCAUUAAACUGUAUAAUGUGCAUUGUGAUUGCAAGCAUAGUAUUUGCUGAUUUAGCCAUACUGUCCAUGCUUUUUAUAUACAAUGUCACCAUAUUAUGCAGUGAACAUUAAGGAUAUUUUUAUUUGCUAAACUUUUCAUAUACUCUGAGAUUCAUUCUGUGAUCUAUGUUAUGCACAGAACACUAAAUAUGUCCUUUAUAAAUUAAGUCAGGCAAGUCUUUUAUUUUAUCUUUUAUACAGGACAUUGAUAUUUUAGCAUGAUGUACAGAGUAAGCAUCUCUUAUGGGAUCCAAUAAAAACACUGACAAUAACAAUGUAGGUAUCCAUAAUGUUGACAACACAACAUCAACAGCUAUGAUGUUGCCAUUUUUAGAAUGUCAACAGGUGAAAUGUCAACAUUAGGGUUAGAGUUAGGCUGCAGGGGGAGGGUAGGGUUAGGCACUAGAAUGAGGGUUAGGAAUAGAGAUUAAAAUUAGUGAUAGCAGUCACCGGAGGAUCGGAGAUCUGACCUAGAAGUGACGGUCAAUUCAGCAUUAGGAUCUGGAAGAUGCUGCUGGAAUCUUUGCUUUGCCAGGAGAUGGUAAAUCACC